rnacentral:misc_RNA from 1 species
CCAAACUUGGUCAUUUAGAGGAAGUAAAAGUCGUAACAAGGUUUCCGUAGGUGAACCUGCGGAAGGAUCAUUAUUGAAUGUCCUUGAUGGGUUGUAGCUGGCUCUUUGGGGCAUGUGCACACCUGUCUUGACUCCAUUCAUCCACCUGUGCACUCUUUGUAGUCUUUCUGGGGCUGAAGCAAGUGGUAUUCAGUUGAGAGACUGGAUCUGAGGCUUGCCUGCAAUGGGCUCUCCUCUAUAGCCAUGAAAUCUCCCUCAAGAGACUAUGUCUUUUAUUCACAAACCAGUAGUAUGUUGCCAGAAUGUAUUUAAUGGGCCAUUGUGCCUAUAAAAGCCAUAUACAACUUUCAGCAACGGAUCUCUUGGCUCUCGCAUCGAUGAAGAACGCAGC